rnacentral:SRP_RNA from 14 species
AGCAAACGGCUCAGGCUGGAACGGAGCAGGCGAAAG